rnacentral:rRNA from 1 species
GACGAGCGCUGGCGGCGUGCUUAACUCAUGCAAGUCGAACGGAAAGGCCCUGCUUUUGUGGGGUGCUCGAGUGGCGAACGGGUGAGUAACACGUGAGUAACCUGCCCUUGACUUUGGGAUAACUUCAGGAAACUGGGGCUAAUACCGGAUAGGAGCUCCUGCUGCAUGGUGGGGGUUGGAAAGUUUCGGCGGUUGGGGAUGGACUCGCGGCUUAUCAGCUUGUUGGUGGGGUAGUGGCUUACCAAGGCUUUGACGGGUAGCCGGCCUGAGAGGGUGACCGGCCACAUUGGGACUGAGAUACGGCCCAGACUCCUACGGGAGGCAGCAGUGGGGAAUAUUGCACAAUGGGCGGAAGCCUGAUGCAGCAACGCCGCGUGCGGGAUGACGGCCUUCGGGUUGUAAACCGCUUUCGCCUGUGACGAAGCGUGAGUGACGGUAAUGGGUAAAGAAGCACCGGCUAACUACGUG